rnacentral:lncRNA from 1 species
UUAAAUGAAAGGAUUUUGAAUCAAUUAACCAAUCUUUAGCCUAAAACUUUAUAUAACAAGGUCUUCUCAUAGCAACUUCAUUAAAACCAUUUUCCUCCAUAGAUCUUGAAGACCUAACCCAAAGCACUUCCAAAAUUUAAUUAUAUCCAAUUAUUAUUAGAUAUAUCCAAUAAUAUCACUUCUCCUCUCCCUUUAUAGUAUUUGCCCUUCAGAGUCUUUGGAAAAUGCCACAAGAGGAUCUUCCCUACUCCAUUUCCUGCCUUUCGUUUCAUUGAUUCUCUCUUCUAAAGUCAGAUAAGUACACAACGAUAUCAGAAGGAUGCAGUUUUUUCAGCUUUUACAGCCAAUAUAAUGGUAUUUUCUAGCAGAUGCUCAAAUACUGCUCAUGGAUUGUUUGCAAGUUUCAUAGACAUAUAAUUUCAAGCUGAAAGAAAAGAGCUCCCAUGCUGAACACUGACAAGAGGCUUCUCUAACCCACUGGAUGGUGACAGCCUGGAGCCCUGAUGUUGUCUUGUGCCAGAGGACAAUGGCAUAAUGUCAGAUUAUAGCCUGGAUGAUGCCUCUCCAGAUAAGGGACAGGAAGAUCUUUCUCUGGAGAAACUGAAACACCAACUGGGGAUCCCCAACAAAAAUAGGUCCAACUUCUCCAUUGUCCUUCCACCAGUCUACAGCUCUGCCUGCCCUGAGAACUUCCAAUCAGCAUUUGGGUGCUUCACCCUCCAAUAGAGAGAGACACACAAGGAUCGUCAGAAGGUAAGGAGUGCUAGAAGGAAAAGGCUAAAUCAAGAGGAAAUAGCAAAUAAGGGGGUACCUGACUAAGCGUCGACUCUUGAUUUCGGCUCAGGUCAUGGUGUCUGGGUUGUGGGAUUGAGCCCUGCUUCAGGCUCUGUGCUGAGUGUGGAUCCUGCUUGAGAUUCUCACUCUCUCCCUCUCUGCCCCUCUCCCCUUCCCCUGCUCACACUCUCUCUCAUCCUCUCUCUUUAAAAAAAAAGAAAGAACAAAUAAGUAGAAAAGGGGGUG